rnacentral:rRNA from 1 species
GACGAACGCUGGCGGCGUGCUUAACACAUGCAAGUCGAACGGUAAGGCCCUUCGGGGUACACGAGUGGCGAACGGGUGAGUAACACGUGGGUGAUCUGCCCUGCACUUCGGGAUAAGCCUGGGAAACUGGGUCUAAUACCGGAUAGGACUCCUGGCUUCCUGGUUGGGGGUGGAACGCUUUUGCGGUGUGGGAUGAGCCCGCGGCCUAUCAGCUUGUUGGUGGGGUGAUGGCCUACCAAGGCGACGACGGGUAGCCGGCCUGAGAGGGUGACCGGCCACACUGGGACUGAGAUACGGCCCAGACUCCUACGGGAGGCAGCAGUGGGGAAUAUUGCACAAUGGGCGCAAGCCUGAUGCAGCGACGCCGCGUGAGGGAUGACGGCCUUCGGGUUGUAAACCUCUUUCAGCACCGACGAAGCGCAAGUGACGGUAGGUGCAGAAGAAGGACCGGCCAACUACGUGCCAGCCGCCGCAGUAA